CUUCUCUCUGCCCGUCUCUGCUUCCCCCCCCUUCCCCCCCCCCUUUUCUCCCGGCCGACGGAGCUGAAGGGGCGGGGGUUCCUUCCUUGGAGUGUUUCUAGAGCUCGGAGGCUGCUGGUAGGGGGAAGUUGUACCCGUCAGCACCUGCUGAGGGCUUUGUUGUCCAAACCCUGACAGGUAAAAAAAUUCCUGCAGAAUAAAGCCAGACCAGCUGGCUUUGAAGAGAAACCCCCCAGUUUGGGCUGCGUUUGCCUCCUCUCCUUUUCUAUGAAGACCGAGGCUUUGCCCCCUUGAUCGUCAAGCCGUGAGAUGCGUGAUCUCUCUGCACAAGUGUCUGGCAGGCCGAGGUGCACCUGUUUCUGUCACUCUGGAGUAAAUUUAGCUGUAAAGGGCACCACUUUCAGAUAAAAACAUAGACCUGAAUGGCAUCAUCCAGUAUCCAAGGAAACCAUGUUCUCUAAACAUGAAUAUGCCUUUGGGGGAAGACAGAAGAACAUGGAAGCCAUGUGAAAAAAACGGAUCCUAAGGCAGUUUUGAACAUCUGGAGGCCUGAUUUAUUGGAGAUUGCAAAUGUACAGUGUAACAUAGCUGUGGAGAGCGAGAAGAUCAGGAUUGUCAAUGCUGUCAUUGCUUUUACUGGAAUCCCCAGCACGAAUUGAAGGUUUGACCAGAGACAAAGAAGCAAAUGCUAUCAAUUAACAUUCACAUGUGGUAGGUCUCACUUUGCCACCUAGGCUGGAUGCAAUGCAACGGUAUGUUGAUCUUGGUUCACUGCAGCCUCAACCUCCUGAGCUCAUGUGAUCCUCCCACCUCAGUCCCCCACGUCGCUUGGAUUACAGGCCUGUGCCACCACACCUGGCUAACUUUUUUUGUAAUUUUUGUAGAGACAGGGUCUCACUAUGUUUCCCAUGCUGGUCUUUAAUGCCUGAGCUCAAGCCAUCCGCCUGCCUCGGCCUCCCAAAUUGCUGGGAUUACAGGCAUGAGCCACCAUGCCCAGCCUAAUUCUUCUAAAUCUUAUCCUAGUAAUUAAGCCAGAAUUUUUCUCUGCCAAGACCAAUAGAUGGACCAAGAAGUACUCAUCCUUGUAAACUUUCUUUGGAUAAAUUGCUUACAUAUAAUAAAUUCAGAGUUAAGUAAUAAAAAUAAUGAACUACUGUCUUG
rnacentral:lncRNA from 1 species